rnacentral:lncRNA from 1 species
UAGCUGGUACAUAAUUUCUUUCUUUCUUUUAAAAAACAAUACAGACAAAAAGAGCAUUAAAGAUGAAGACAAAGCUAAAAAGGAUGUGAAAGAAAGAAAAGCAGAAGCAAAGGUAGCUGACAGAGUGAAGAAGGAAACCAAAGCUGAAGAUGUUGCACCAAGAAAAGCAAAAGCAAAAGAGGACACAGCAUUGGUGGCUAAACAAAAGUCAGAGACAAAAGGACCAUCUCCUCACCUGUUUUUACCACAGUCCCCGGCAAUGACACCAGCAGUCCCUGCUGCUGAAGUUGGAAAACAUAAUGUGACUGCUUCAAAACUGAUAAGUAAGUGCUACAAGAUGCUUCUCCACACACACGCUUCCUAGUUA